rnacentral:lncRNA from 1 species
AGUAAUAAUAAUAAUAAUAAUAAUAAUAAUAAUAAUAAUAAUAAUAGAACACAACACACCAGACAUUACAGUUGUGGAAAAGAAAAAGGUUUGGAUCAUUGAUGUUGCCAUCCCAGGUGACAGUUGUGGAAAGGAAAAAGGUUUGGAUCAUUGAUGUUGCCAUCCCAGGUGACAGUCGCAUUGACGAAAAACAACAGGAAAAACUCAGCCGCUAUCAGGACCUCAAGAUUGAACUUCAAAGACUCUGGCAGAAACCAGUACAGGUGGUCCCGGUGGUGAUCGGUACAUUGGGUGAUCUCAGCCGGCAUUUGGAAACAAUAGAAAUUGACAAAAUCAUGAUCUGCCAACUGCAAAAGGCCACAGCCACUGAUGGAUGCCACUACAAUAUCCAUAGAUAAUCCCUGUGGUUGGCAAAUAUGGAGUUUGAUCCAGUAAUCUAGAGCUUUAUUGUAACAAAAUUCAUUAAUUAAUGCACCGGAAAUUAUAAUGAUGAGUUUAUUAUUAUUUAGGGAAUACAGAGUAGGGCAUAUUUCUCACAGGUAGAACUACACACAUUCAUACAGUGCUUAUAAAUAGCACUUGUUUUGCCACAGUUUCUUCUUGUUAAUAUAUUUUAAUUGAUUGGAUGUUUUUUUUCUCACCCAUGGGUGAAGAUGGAAUAAUCCUUGAACUACUUUUCAACAACCUUUCUUUUUAUCAGUGGUGUUCCAUUUUUAAACACAAAACACACAGAAAUAGACAUUCACUGAUCUACAAAGCUAGUAAGAACUUCCAUCACAAUGGCAUCAUGGAUACAAAAAACUGUUUUGGUGUAUGUGGGAGGGAAGGAACCAGAAAACUUUGAAGAAGGCUUUUGUGUCUGUGAAUUCCUGGUCCUCUCUUCUACUAAAUCACACAGCUCAAAUCCGUGCAGCCCCCAAGUGUCCCUGCAGUGUUAGACAUGUCAAUGGCAGAAGCUCCCUACUGUGGGAGACCUGACCCUGAACACUUUCAUUUGGUACCAUGCUGUUAUUCCUUAUAAUUUUCCUGCUUCAAUUCCCUCCCCCUGCCCUUAGUUAAUUUUUCAUCACCCUUUGUAUUAUUUAUUGUAAUAGAUUGUAGAACCAUGCAAAGAAAUAUCCCAUUGUUAGAAUGAUUUGAAAUUAAUAAAAUGGAUUAUUGAAAUAAGUUGCUUCUAAAUAUUAAUGAGAGAAAUGAGCACCUAGGAUGCCAUGUGAGUAAGGGCUUACUAGCUGAAGAGGCAAAGUUCCUUGAUAAUGUAAGACCUGAUAUUGCAUAAAACUAUUGCUAUUCUCAGACCUGGUUUCCACACCUGGUGGUACUUUAAUGUGCAGAUUUCAGUGCUUUCAUGAACAGCUUCCAUAUAGAGGAGUUGUUUCUACUUAAAAGAAAAUUGCAUUCAGUUCAAUAGGAUGUGCUUCUAGAU